UUGAGCCGUAUGAGGGGUGACUCUCACGUACGGUUCUUAGGGGAGGCAAGGGUGGUAACACCCUUGCUUUACCCGAC
rfam:Pseudomonas taeanensis MS-3 contig_12, whole genome shotgun sequence.